rnacentral:rRNA from 1 species
AACGAACGCUGGCGGCAUGCCUAACACAUGCAAGUCGAACGGGAUCCUAGCUUGCUAGGUGAGAGUGGCGGACGGGUGAGUAACACGUGGGAAUCUGCCUUCUGGUUCGGGAUAACCGCGGGAAACUGCGGCUAAUACCGAAUGCCCUCGCGAGAGGAAAGAUUUAUCGCCAGAAGAGGAGCCCGCGUCCGAUUAGGUAGUUGGUGGGGUAAAGGCCUACCAAGCCGACGAUCGGUAGCUGGUCUGAGAGGAUGAUCAGCCACACUGGGACUGAGAUACGGCCCAGACUCCUACGGGAGGCAGCAGUGGGGAAUAUUGGACAAUGGGGGCAACCCUGAUCCAGCAAUGCCGCGUGAGUGAUGAAGGCCUUAGGGUUGUAAAGCUCUUUUGCCAGGGAAGAUGAUGACUGUACCUGGAGAAUAAGCCCCGGCUAACUUCGUGCCAGCAGCCGCGG